rnacentral:rRNA from 1 species
UUACCUUCGGGUAAUGAGGAUGGCGGACGGGUGAGUAACGCGUAAGGAACUUGCCUCUUGGUCUGGGACAACUGUUGGAAACGACAGCUAAUACCGGAUAUUAUGAGAUUCUCGCAUGGGAAACUUAUGAAAGCUAUAUGCGCCAAGAGAGAGCCUUGCGUUCCAUUAGCUAGUUGGUGGGGUAACGGCCCACCAAGGCGACGAUGGAUAGCCGGCCUGAGAGGGUGAACGGCCACAAGGGGACUGAGACACGGCCCUUACUCCUAAGGGAGGCAGCAGUGGGGAAUAUUGGACAAUGGGCCACAAGCCUGAUCCAGCAAUUCUGUGUGCACGAUGAAGGUCUUCGGAUUGUAAAGUGCUUUCAGUUGGGAAGAAGAAAGUGACGGUACCAACAGAAGAAGCGACGGCUAAAUACGUGCCAGCAGCCGCGGUAAUACGUAUGUCGCAAGCGUUAUCCGGAUUUAUUGGGCGUAAAGCGCGUCUAGGCGGAAAAAUAAGUCUGAUGUUAAAAUGCGGGGCUCAACUCCGUAUUGCGUUGGAAACUGUUUUUCUAGAGUACUGGAGAGGUGGGCGGAACUACAAGUGUAGAGGUGAAAUUCGUAGAUAUUUGUAGGAAUGCCGAUGGAGAAGUCAGCUCACUGGACAGAUACUGACGCUGA